AUAAAUUGCAUUAUGUAAUUGUUGGUCCCAUAUAAUUACUUUUCAAACAGAUUGUUCCCCAAACACAAAUUAUAUAUAUUUCUAAACAUGUUUUCCUCUUAAAGCCCAAACUGAUAGGAAAAGAAAAAAAAAAGAUUUUGGAGAUUUGUAAAGAGAAUUGAUAAUGAGAGAUGACUAUAAUUUUUCAUAUUUGUGUCCGGUCCAAUAUAGAUUUUUUAAACUGAAUAGUCUUCAACAGAUUUUCAGAACUAUCAUUUUCACCUUAGUCGCU
rnacentral:lncRNA from 1 species